CCUAGACCAAAGAACCCCACCUCUAGGCAACAAUCCCCAACUCUCUGGUUAGAAGAGAUAUCUUCGCUCCUCUGAAUUCCCACAGCCCUUCGUCUGUACCUCCUUUAUCAUGUCAAUGCCUUUCUAUUUUGUAUUGCAGAUAUUUAUGGAUUGCCCAAUUUCCUCAUUGGAUGAUUGACUCCUUGAGGGUGCAGUCUCUAUUCAUUCAUGAGCACCUACUAGGAGCCAGGCACAGUUCUAGUCAUUGCCUAUAUAGCAAUGCACAAUACAGACGAGUCCCUGUCCCCAUGGAGGGACAUUUUCCUUUGGGAAGACAGCCUUCCACUUCAGCCACAUCAGCCACAGCAGACAAUGACCACAACCUUCAACACUGAGGCAGGCAGACAUAGAAGAAGCUGUGGACGUUAGUGACCUGCCUGCCCUGAUGGAUUCAGAGGACGAUGAGAUGUUAAUAGAUGACCCUCUUCUCUCUCCCACACCCCGGUCUCCUGCAUGUCUUACCACCUCAACGUCUGACAACUCAGCCUAACACACCGUCAUCACCACCACCACCUCUCAGCCUUCCAGUGUGCUUGCUGUCUUCCCAAUUCUGGUUGACAAAUAGCAUCAGAAAGUGGGAUCUGAAGCGAUCUCAUCUUUGUGGGCUGGCGUCCCCUGGAAACAUGUUUGCUAUCAAGGGGAGCCCCUUUGUGUGCUCAGCUGCUCCUGCCGACAGCUGACUCCUCAAAUCAUGGGACCCCUCCGCUGGGACCAACUUCCCUUUGGUUGAGGUCAGUGCCUUUCUUUCGGAUUCUGGGGCCGUAGCCUCAUCUGGAGUUGACUGACCUGCAGACAAUUGUCUCCAAGCCAACUCAUGGCUUUUGCCAUCUGGAAAAGUUUCCCUAUUUGGGCCACCUUAAGGCAGCUCAUGGUUAUUCCUGUCUGGAAGGGUUUCUCUGAGCUGGCUACGGCUGUUGCCCUCUGAGGGUUUAUUCCCUGGCUGAGCAUGAUGUUGUAAAAACACGACUCAGAUAAUGGUCUCUCAGCCCUCUGAAGUGAUUGCUAAGGCUUAUAAGCCUUCCCCUGAGAAACUCAAGGAACUACAGACAAUGUCUGCCCUUAAAGGAACUUGAUGGUAAGGCUUUUCUCUGCUCUGGCACCCUUGUUGCUCAACUGUGGCCUAAGGCUCCUAAGGAAACUACUUUCUAUCCUACGUGGGACAUGACAUAUUGGGA
rnacentral:lncRNA from 1 species